CCUACGGGAGGCAGCAGUGGGGAAUAUUGGACAAUGGGGGAAACCCUGAUCCAGCGACGCCGCGUGUGUGAAGAAGGCCUGCGGGUUGUAAAGCACUUUUAGUGGGGAUGAAAAGCCUAGGGUUAACACCUCUGGGUCUUGACCUAACCCACAGAAAAAGCACCGGCUAACUCUGUGCCAGCAGCCGCGGUAAUACAGAGGGUGCAAGCGUUAAUCGGAAUUACUGGGCGUAAAGCGUGCGUAGACGGUUAUUUAAGUCAGGUGUGAAAGCCCCGGGCUCAACCUGGGAAUUGCAUUUGAGACUGAAUAGCUAGGGUGCGGAAGAGGGAAGCGGAAUUUCCGGUGUAGCGGUGAAAUGCGUAGAUAUCGGAAGGAACACCAGUGGCGAAAGCGGCUUCCUGGUCCAGCACCGACGUUCAGGCACGAAAGCGUGGGGAGCAAACAGGAUUAGAUACCCUGGUAGUCCACGCCAUAAACGAUGAGGACUAGACGUUGAGAGGGUAAGCCUCCCAGUGUCGCAGCUACGACGAUAAGUACCUCCGUCCGUCGGGGUAGGUACCGGGCCGGCCGAACGGUUAGGUAAACGUACGUAAACGGUAAAGUUAGUUACGGGCGUGAGACGUGCCGACGGCGACGACGAGGGAGGAGG
rnacentral:rRNA from 1 species